UACGUAGGGCGCAAGCGUUAUCCGGAAUUAUUGGGCGUAAAGAGCUCUGUAGGCGGGUUUGUCGCGUCUGCCGUGAAAGUCCGGGGCUCAACUCCGGAUCUGCGGUGGGUACGGGCAGACUAGAGUGAUGUAGGGGAGACUGGAAUUCCUGGUGUAGCGGUGAAAUGCGCAGAUAUCAGGAGGAACACCGAUGGCGAAGGCAGGUCUCUGGGCAUUAACUGACGCUGAGGAGCGAAAGCAUGGGGAGCGAACAGG
rnacentral:rRNA from 1 species